GGAGGAAAAGAAACCAACAGGGAUUGCCUCAGUAACGGCGAGUGAAGCGGCAAAAGCUCAAAUUUGAAAUCUGGCCCUUUCAGGGUCCGAGUUGUAAUUUGUAGAGGUUGUUUCGGCCACCGCCCCGGGUUAAAUUUCUUGGAACAGAAUGUCAGAGAGGGUGAGAGCCCCGUCUUGACCCGGUGGUAGGAUCCAUGUGAAACUCCUUCGACGAGUCGAGUUGUUUGGGAAUGCAGCUCAAAAUGGGUGGUAAAUUUCAUCUAAAGCUAAAUAUUGGCCAGAGACCGAUAGCGCACAAGUAGAGUGAUCGAAAGAUGAAAAGCACUUUGAAAAGAGAGUUAAACAGUAUGUGAAAUUGUUGAAAGGGAAGCGCUGGCAACCAGACUUGCGCGCGACGGUUCCCCCCGGCUUCUGCCUGGGUUACUCCGUCGCGUCCAGGCCAACAUCGGUUCUGGGGGUCGGUCAAAGGCCCCGGGAAUGUAUCUACCCUUCGGGGUCGACUUAUAGCCCGGGGUGUCAUGCGGCCACCCGGGACCGAGGAACGCGCUUCGGCUCGGAUGUUGGCGUAAUGGUUGUCAGCGGCCCGUCUUGAAACACGGACCAAGGAGUCUAACAUCUAUGCGAGUGUUAGGGUGUCAAACCCUGGCGCGGAAUGAAAGUGAACGGAGGUAAGAAGCCGCGAGGCCGCAUUAUCGACCGAUCCUGAAGUUUACGGAUGGAUUUGAGUAAGAGCAUAGCUGUUGGGACCCGAAAGAUGGUGAACUAUGCGUGAAUAGGGUGAAGCCAGAGGAAACUCUGGUGGAGGCUCGCAGCGGUUCUGACGUGCAAAUCGAUCGUCAAAUUUGCGUAUAGGGGCGAAAGACUAAUCGAACCAUC
rnacentral:rRNA from 1 species